rnacentral:rRNA from 1 species
GACGAACGCUGGCGGCGUGCCUAAUACAUGCAAGUCGAGCGAACAGACGGGGAGUUUGCUCGUCUGACGUUAGCGGCGGACGGGUGAGUCACACGUGGAUAACCUACCUAUAAGACUGGGAUAAUUUCGGGAAACCGGCGCUAAUGGGGGAUGAUAUAUUGCACCGCGUGGGGCAAUAGUGAAAUUCGGUUUUUCUGUCAGUUAUAGAUGCAUCCGCGCCGCAUUAGCUAGUUGGUAAGGUAACGGGUUACCAAGGCUACGAUGCGUAGCCGACCUGAGAGGGUGGUCGGCCACAUGGGAAGUGAGACAGGGCCCAGACGCCUAGGGUAGGCAGCAGUCGGGAAUCCUCCGCAAUGGGGGAGAGCCUGACGGAGCGACGCGGCGUGAGUGAUGAAGGUGUUCGGAUCGGAAAACUCUGUUAGUAGUAGAGAACAAAUGUGCUAUUAACUGUGACGGUAUUGACGGUACCUGAUCAAAAAGCCCCGGCUAACUACGUG